ACGUGUCUACAAGAAUAAAGUUGCGUAGUAGACAUCACCUAGCCCGUAGGCGCUGCACUGUGACUUCGAGGCAGCCGCCGUGUGCUAGCCCUCCCCCACCCACCCCAUUCUUCCAGCAGUUAGAGAAGCAGCGCGGCGGCGGCUUGCUCCUCUCCCCCUCUCAAUCCCCUCUCCAAAAAUCUUCAGAUCUGAUGAUUUGGUCCUUGGAAUUCUUCACUAUUCUAUCCUACAAAGAUGGUUUGGCUUCUCGAUGAUCACUAUGACACUCGACACCGGGCGUACUUUAUGUCGGUGGAGCAACCGGAGCUUUAACCUCUGAAGAUUCGGUCUCACGGGGUCACCCUAGGGGGGGUGCGCUAUGAUGAGCGGUACACACCGUACAUAAGGGAGAUAGAACACCUCCCUUUCAUUCAGUUGGUCAGUCGGUCGACACCAAACCUCAAUGCUGCAACAAUCACCGUGCUUGUUGAUCGUUGGAGGCUGGAGACACACAGUUUCCAUCUUUGAAUCAGGGAGAUGACCAUGACGCUCUAGGAUAUUGCUAUGAUUGCUGGUCUUCCUAUCGAGGGGAAUCCUCUUUGUAUGAGCACCGAUUUUGAUGGGUGGCGCAAGCAGAUGCAGACCCUUAUCGGUAUGGUUCCUCUAGAGCCUCUGGAAUUAGAAGGAGACAAGAAGAGGGAAAGAGUCGCAGUCGGUGCUCCUUUCACCUGGAUUGCAUGGAACUUUGGGAAUUGCCCUGAGAAUGCUAAUGAUGAUGAGGUCAAGACAUAUGCUCGUGUCUACAUGUGGUAGGUUAUAUCCAGGACUAUGUUUGCUGAUGGCACAGGCAAGAAUG